GUUUUUCAUUUUUUUUUUUUUUUUUUUUUUUAUUUUUUCUUUU
rnacentral:ribozyme from 1 species